AUGGCUCAGGAUGAACGCUAGCUACAGGCUUAACACAUGCAAGUCGAGGGGUAGCAGGGUAGCAAUACCGCUGACGACCGGCGCACGGGUGAGUAACACGUAUCCAACCUUCCCAUAACUCAGGGAUAGCCUUUCGAAAGAAAGAUUAAUACCUGAUAGUACUUUUUCAAGGCAUCUUGAGAAAGUUAAAGAUUUAUUGGUUAUGGAUGGGGAUGCGUUCCAUUAGAUAGUUGGUGAGGUAACGGCUCACCAAGUCUUCGAUGGAUAGGGGUUCUGAGAGGAAGGUCCCCCACAUUGGUACUGAGACACGGACCAAACUCCUACGGGAGGCAGCAGUGAGGAAUAUUGGUCAAUGGGCGAGAGCCUGAACCAGCCAAGUAGCGUGAAGGAUGAAGGUCCUAUGGAUUGUAAACUUCUUUUAUAGUAGAAUAAAGUGAUCCACGUGUGGAUUUUUGUAUGUAUACUAUGAAUAAGGAUCGGCUAACUCCGUGCCAGCCGCAGC
rnacentral:rRNA from 1 species